rnacentral:rRNA from 1 species
UGAGGAAUAUUAGUCAAUGGACGCAAGUCUGAACCAGCCAAGUAGCGUGCAGGAUGACGGCCCUAUGGGUUGUAAACUGCUUUUAUAUGGGGAUAAAGUGGGGAACGUGUUCCCUUUUGCAGGUACCAUAUGAAUAAGGACCGGCUAAUUCCGUGCCAGCAGCCGCGGUAAUACGGAAGGUUCGGGCGUUAUCCGGAUUUAUUGGGUUUAAAGGGAGCGUAGGCCGUUUGGUAAGCGUGUUGUGAAAUGUAGGAGCUCAACUUCUAGAUUGCAGCGCGAACUGUCAGACUGGAGUGCGCACAACGUAGGCGGAAUUCAUGGUGUAGCGGUGAAAUGCUUAGAUAUCAUGAAGAACUACGAUUGCGAAGGCAGCUUACGGGAGCGCAACUGACGCUGAAGCUCGAAGGUGCGGGUAUCGAACAGG